rnacentral:rRNA from 1 species
UACGUAGGGUGCGAGCGUUAAUCGGAAUUACUGGGCGUAAAGCGUGCGCAGGCGGUUAUUUAAGUCAGGUGUGAAAGCCCUGGGCUUAACCUAGGAAUUGCGCUUGAGACUGGAUAGCUUGGAGUGCGGCAGAGGGAGGUGGAAUUCCACGUGUAGCAGUGAAAUGCGUAGAGAUGUGGAGGAACACCGAUGGCGAAGGCAGCCUCCUGGGCCAGCACUGACGCUCAUGCACGAAAGCGUGGGGAUCAAACAGG